rnacentral:rRNA from 1 species
UACGAAGGAGGCUAGCGUUGCUCGGAAUCACUGGGCGUAAAGCGCACGUAGGCGGCUUACUAAGUCAGGGGUGAAAUCCUGGAGCUCAACUCCAGAACUGCCUUUGAUACUGGUGAGCUUGAGUCCGGAAGAGGUGAGUGGAACUGCGAGUGUAGAGGUGAAAUUCGUAGAUAUUCGCAAGAACACCGAUGGCGAAGGCAGCCCCCUGGGCUGAGAUUGACGCUCAGGCACGAAAGCGUGGGGAGCAAACAGGUAGUAAGCAAUCCGUUGAUACCGUCCGAAGCACCA